rnacentral:rRNA from 1 species
UAGUCCACACCGUAAACGAUGAAUGCCAGACGUCAGGGGGCUUGCCCUUUGGUGUCACACCUAACGGAUUAAGCAUUCCGCCUGGGGAGUACGGUCGCAAGAUUAAAACUCAAAGGAAUUGACGGGGGCCCGCACAAGCGGUGGAGUAUGUGGUUUAAUUCGAAGCAACGCGCAGAACCUUACCUACCCUUAACAUUUCACGCUCGCCUCAGAGAUGAGGUUUUCUCUUCGGAGACGUGAGGAUAGGUGCUGCAUGGCUGUCGUCAGCUCGUGUCGUAAGAUGUCUGGUUAAGUCCGGCAACGAGCGCAACCCACAUCUUUAGUUGCCAGCAGGUUAAGCUGGGCACUCUAAAGAAACUGCCCGUGAUAAGCGGGAGGAAGGUGUGGAUGACGUCAAGUCCUCAUGGCCCUUACGGGUUGGGCUACACACGUGCUACAACGGCAUCUACAGUGAGUUAAUCUCCAAAAGAUGUCUCAGUUCGGAUUGGGGUCUGCAACUCGACCCCA